ensembl:lncRNA
CAGGCACAAGGUGCACCUGUGUAAUGAUCAUGUUAUUUUAAUCAGCUUAUUGAUAUGCCACACCUGUCAGGUGGAUGGAUUAUCUUCGCAAUGGAGAAAUGCUCACUAAGAAGGAUGUAAACACAUUUGUGCACAACAUUUGAGAGAAAUAAGCUUUUAAUAUGUAUAUAAAUUAUUUUUUCUGCACAUGAAACAUUGGACCAAUGAUUUACAUGUUGCGUUUAUAUUUUUGCUCAGUCUACCACAGUAUAAUUCACAAUAACCACAAAUCAAAUCAAAUCAAAUCAAAUUUAUUUAUAUAGCCCUUCGUACAUCAGCUGAUAUCUCAAAGUGCUGUACAGAAACCCAGCCUAAAACCCCAAACAGCAAGCAAUGCAGGUGUAGAAGCACGGUGGCUAGGAAAAACUCCCUAGAAAGGCCAAAACCUAGGAAGAAACCUAGAGAGGAACCAGGCUAUGUGGGGUGGCCAGUCCUCUUCUGGCUGUGCCGGGUGGAGAUUAUAACAGAACAUGGCCAAGAUGUUCAAAUGUUCAUAAAUGACCAGCAUGGUCGAAUAAUAGUAAGGCAGAACAGUGGAAACUGGAGCAGCAGCAUGGCCAGGUGGACUGGGGACAGCAAGGAGUCAUCAUGUCAGGUAGUCCUGGGGCAUGGUCCUAGGGCUCAGGUCCUCUGAGAGAGAGAAAGAAAGAGAGAAUUAGAGAGAGCAUAUGUGGGGUGGCCAGUCCUCUUCUGGCUGUGCCGGGUGGAGAUUAUAACAGAACAUGGCCAAGAUGUUCAAAUGUUCAUAAAUGACCAGCAUGGUCGAAUAAUAGUAAGGCAGAACAGUUGAAACUGGAGCAGCAGCAUGGCCAGGUGGACUGGGGACAGCAAGGAGUCAUCAUGUCAGGUAGUCCUGGGGCAUGGUCCUAGGGCUCAGGUCCUCCGAGAGAGAGAAAGAAAGAGAGAAGGAGAAAAUUAGAGAACGCACACUUAGAUUCACACAGGACAGCGAAUAGGACAGGAGAAGUACUCCAGAUAUAACAAAC